GGAGAGGUGGCAGAGUGGUCGAUUGCGGCGGUCUUGAAAACCGUUGUACUGCAAGGUACCGGGGGUUCGAAUCCCUCCCUCUCCGCAA
rnacentral:tRNA from 2 species